rfam:Agrilus planipennis Contig9184, whole genome shotgun sequence.
ACAUAAUAUAAAAACCACAAUCACAUAAUACACAAACACAUACGGCUGAAGAGGACCUAAUUGGUCCUAAAACGGCCUGAGGUAGAGGGGUUUUAGUCGGUAGGUCCGAGGACUCCUUCCUCGGGAAUCCGACACUACCCAGUCGUACGGACGGCUGGGUGUCUUUUGAAGAUUUCCCCUCUUCCACGAAA